GCGCGGCUAGCUCAGUCGGUAGAGCAUGAGACUCUUAACCUCAAGGUCGUGGGUUCGGGCCCCACGUUGGCGCC
rfam:Ixodes scapularis strain Wikel colony gcontig_1107728566558, whole genome shotgun sequence.